ensembl:lncRNA
UCUGGGUACACAUUUGAAAAGGCAUGAGACAGUGCAUUGCCCAUUUUUGCACUGUAAUUUUAAAACUAAUGUCUAUGUAACAUUUUAUAGCCACAAGUCCAAACAUCACCAAAAAUGCAAAUUAAGUGAUUAUAGGUCAUCGGUUGUAACUGUCAAUCGCACAGACUCUGAUAAUUUGUUGGAUUCUGCUUCAGAAUGCUUUGAGGAUACAUCAGAUGACAAAGAUAUACAUGUAGAAGCUGCUGAUGUUGAAGAUAUUGACAAAAUUCUUGAGAAGAAGUUAGCUUCUUUGUUCCUUUGUAUGCAGACAGAACUAGGUGUAUCUAGAAGUGCUACACAUCACAUUUUUCAAAGUCUGAAUGAAAUACUAUACCUGUCUAAACCAUCCACAGAAAAGGUGAUUACAGAUAUUUUAUCCCACCACAACUGUGAAGUUGACCAAUCUUUAAUCACAGAAAUCAGCGAAGCUGUUCACAGAACAAAUCCUCUUUAUGCUACCACUAAUAAAGGAACAUUAUCAACUGAUCAUAAACGCAAAGUAUAUUACAAACAAAACUUUGAUGUCAUUGAACCAGUUGAGUUUGUAUUCAGCAGACAAAAAAAUAAAUCAUUUGUUUAUGUUCCUAUUCUUGAAGUUUUGAAAAAGUUUCUAGGCCAUAAUGAGACAGUGCAAAAAACCUUUUCUAAUGCUACCACAAAUGGCUUCUAUGCAUCUUGUUUUAAUGGCCAGCAUUUCAAAGAGCAUCCUCUGCUUUGUGAUAAGAAUGUAGCUAUUGCACUUGGUCUAUAUAUUGAUGACUUUGAAGUUGCUAAUCCUUUGGGAACGUCACGUAAAAAGCACAAGAUUACAGCAGUCUACUGGGUGAUCUUGAACUGGCCCUCCCAAUUCAGAGCAAAUUUGCACGCUAUUCAACUAGCCUUGUUGGGGAAGAGUAAUGACGUAAGAGAAUUUGGCUAUGACAUAUUUUUUGAGCCAUUAAUGAAGGAUGUGCAGACACUUGAAAGAGAGGGUUUGUAUGUAGAUCAGUUUGGGGAAAAUAUCAAAGGAACUGUCUUUACUGUCUCUGCAGACAAUCUAGGGGCACAUGGCCUAGCAGGAUUUCAGGAAAGUUUUUGUGUUGAGAAGUUCUGUAGGUUUUGUCUUGCUUCUAUCAAGGACAUACAGACCACUGAUGUGAGCAAGGGACUUUUUCCCUUAAGAAGUAUAGAACAACACAACCAAUUUAUUAAGGAGCUGAAAGCAACCCCAACUUUGACAAAUGUACAAGGUGUAAAAGGAGAAUGUGUCUUACAAAAUCAUCUUGCUUGCUUUCACCCAGUAACCGGAUUUCCUCCAGAUGCAUUGCACGAUUUGUUUGAAGGAAUUGUGCCGUACGAGUUGUCUUUGUGUCUCCAGAAGCUAAUAGCUGAUAAGUUCUUUACCCUUGACCAGUUGAACAGUGUCAUUCAGUCUUUCCCUUACUGUUUCU